GUCAGCGUGGCAUAGUGGUUUGAGUGUUGGACUACUACUCUGGAAACCAGGGUUUGAAUCCUGGCUUGGACA